GGCUUGGCAAGGAGCCUCCUAGUCCUUCCACUUUGGUUUCAGACUUUGAGGAGACUUGAUGCCUUUGGAGGAGAGCAGCAUUUCACGGUUUCGAGAUGGCCUCCCUGAUGGGAAGGUGUGAUGGGAACUGGGAAGGGGCUCCCAGGCUACGUGUAAUGAGCUGAAGCCCCAGAGGUUACUGACAGACCAAAAUAUCCUGACAACCCCGGAAUGCCAGAAGGAGAGAAGGGGUUUGUAAAUCUGAGGACCUUGACUACUUUUAUAUCCCCAAUCUCAUCUUAAAUCUGAAUUGAACCUGUCAUAUUAUAGCCUGGCUCUUCUCUCACCAACUAUUUGGGGGUAAUGUAGUGAUUCAUUUUGUUUCCACAUAUUAUUUUAAGUUCUUACUACCUCCUUCCCCCAUCUAGGUUCAGAUUUUCCCCUGCUUUUAACAUCUUGGUCCAGGCAGCUACAUUAUCAAACUGUACUAGGAUGGCAAAAUCAUUUUUUCACAUAUGCUAACCAUCAAUGAUUAGUGGUGAUUUUAUGGAAAAAUAUGUUGAGAAUAAUUUAGAGGAAAGAUUUGGGUUCAGAUAGAACUAUCUGCCAUUGGUAAGUAAAGUAAAGUGAUGUUGUCACUUAUUUUAUCCCAUCCAUGAUGAGAAUUGAUGUUUAUAAAACCUUUGACUAUACAAUGAGAGUAUUAAGCAAAAAACAAGUAACAAAAAUUAAAAAUAAAAUGCUUUUGUAAUCAAGGUCAGAGAGGAUAUUCUUUUACUUUUUCCAUUACAUUAUUCAUGUGUGCAUAAUGGUGUACAGUAUUACUUUCCAUGUGUAAAAAAGAAAUCAUACAAUAGAGUGCAUAGAGAAGUGGAGAAAUGGAGAAUAGUUCUCAAAGUUAUUUGAUCUGGCAGAUUAUCUUCCAAAGAUGAGUGCAACUGUAUUUUCCAUAUCACAGCCUCUUCUGGAAUAUUAAACUCUGCCCCCAUCAAGAGGUGGUGUCUGUGUCUGUUCUUGAAUUUGGGUGGGUCUUCCCGACUGCUUCAACCAAGAGAGUCCAGUAGAAAUGAUACUAUAUGAUUUUGGAGGUUAGAUCAAAAGACUGCCAUGCAUUUUAAUUUUGUUUUUUGAGGGUUGCUGUCUUUUAGAACCCAGCCAACAUACUGUGAUGAAGCCUAAACAACUGUGGAGAGGCUCACGUGGAGAGGAGUCAAUGCCCACUGAUCUAUAAGCCUUGGCUGAGCUCUGAGCCAACAGUCAUGAUCAACUUCCAGCCGUAUAAGUGAACCAUCUUGAAAGAGGCUUCACCAGCACCAAGUUGAGCAACUUGAUUAUGUUACCAAAGAUCACCUCCUUCCUAUCAUCUUCCGUCUGAGACUUGCUUAGAGUGAGUUUGGAAGCUGUGUUUUGCUCAUCCUGAAGACUGAACAUAAGAAAAUAUUGCUCAAGUUCUGGAUGAUGCAGCUGCUGAAAUAAUCUGUGGUGCACUUUCCUUCAGGAAUCCUUACCUAUUUUUUCAGGUGUUCCACAAGCCUUCUUAUCUUGGAAUUCAGUAAUACUUAUUGUGUGGUUGCUUACUGUUCCCUAGGCACCCUGAAGCAUUGAAGCUUUGAAGCUUUGUCUCAUGCUUUCAAGUAAUGUUCUCGUGUUUACCUGCUGAUAUUCCUUCAAAGUUAGAGGCUGCCUCUCUCCAAGUGUGGAAAAAAACAAUCAGAUGUCACUAAGAUAUUGUGUAACAAUUCAUAUUAAACACAUGAUCUUGUCAGUCAAGAAGAAGAGAUUAAAACAAACACCUUGAGAGUUCAUGAGUAGAAGUAUACAGCCCUGCAUUCAUGAUAAUAUGGUGCAUUUUACCUACCUUGCAGCAGAAAGAGAUAUCUAAUUCCAUACACAGCAAUGUAACUGUUUAAAGUGCUCCUAAAAUUCAGACAAAACAAAUUAUAAAUAGUAUCAAGAUCAAAGAAGCUGAAAGUCCCUAUGUUUGAUGUAGGCACAGCAAAGUUUGAUGUAUAUGCUCAUUUCUCAGCACUGCAAGUAUGGAGAAACCAUCAGAAAGCAUGCUGAAAAUAGAGAGGGCUUCUAAAACAGAAAGCUCCUGCCUGUUUUACUGAAGGCUACCAGAUUCUUUCUCAGAAAUUUUGUACAGUUCAGAGGCACAAAUGCUCUUUUAGGUCCUUUGAAGCACUGGGUUUAAUAUCGGAAUUUAAUCUUGGCUCUAGUCUCCAAUUCCUUACAUAGUCAUUCAAGCAAUCUUGGGGACCAAGUCUUCCAAUAGCAUAGUGAUAUUCAUGCCUGAAGUGGGAGGAAUAGAUAUCCUCCUCAUUAACAAGGGAUGAGAGAUCAUGUUUCAUAGGCAAAAUACUCAUGCAUGCAAAAAUGUAACUUUUCCAGUAAUUUUUUUAGUACUGAAAUUAGCUUAGCUCAUUAGCUCUCUCUUCUACCUAGUAGCAGGGAAUGCAGUUUUGCUAACCCAGGUGACUCAUUAUUUCUGUUUUCAAGUUUAGUUUAUUUUAGGUAAAUUUUUGAAUUCAUAAUGUUUUUCUGACCUUUCUUCUCUUCCAGAAGAGGUUAUUCUAACUUCUUAAUGGAUUUACUUUUGUAGUUG
rnacentral:lncRNA from 1 species